rnacentral:tRNA from 1 species
GCCCGGGUGAUGGAAUUGGUAGACAUACAGGACUUAAAAUCCUGGGACCUUUGGUCGUGCGGGUUCGAUUCCCGCUCCGGGUA